rnacentral:rRNA from 1 species
AUUGAACGCUGGCGGCAGGCCUAACACAUGCAAGUCGAACGAGUGGCGGACGGGUGAGUAAUGUCUGGGAAACUGCCCGCUGGCGGGGGAUAACUACAGGAAACGGUAGCUAAUACCGCAUACCCUCGGAUGUGCCCAGAUGGGAUUAGCUUGUAGGUGGGGUAACGCCUCACCUAGGCGACGAUCCCUAGCGGGUCUGAGAGGAUGACCAGCCACACUGGAACUGAGACACGGUCCAGACUCCUACGGGAGGCAGCAGUGGGGAAUAUUGCACAAUGGGCGCAAGCCGGAGGCAGCCAGGCCGCGUGUAUGAAGAAGGCCUUCGGGUUGUAAAGUAUUUUCAGCGAGGAGGCGUUACUCGCAGAAGAAGCACCGGCUAACUCCGUGCCAGCAGCCGCGGUAAUAC